UUUUAUAUAGUUUAAAAUAAAACAUUAUAUUUUCAUUAUAAAAAUAAUAAAUAUUAUUUAUAAAAU
rnacentral:tRNA from 2 species